UACGGAGGGUGCAAGCAUUGAUCGGAAUUACUGGGCGUAAAGGGCGCGUAGGCGGCCUGGUUAGUCAGAUGUGAAAUUCCACAGCUCAACUGUGGAGCUGCAUUUGAAACUGCCAGACUAGAGCGUAGUUAGGGAAAACGGAAUUCCACAUGUAGCGGUGAAAUGCGUAGAUAUGUGGAGGAACACCGGUGGUGAAGACGGUUUUCUGGGCUAUGGCUGACGCUGAGGCGCGAAAGCUAGGGGAGCAAACAGG
rnacentral:rRNA from 1 species